CCUAUACAAUGAUCAAACAUAUGGCAGCAGCUCAGACAGAAGACACCUAAUGGGGCAUGUCAGAGUCAGUCCAUGGAAGAAUGUUUGAGCUCUGUAGUGAUUCCAUCACGCUGACCUCUCCAGUGUUGAGAAUCACUAUGUAAUGAAAGUCAAUACUGACAGAAUUGUGUUGCCUGACAACAAAAGUUAAGUAUACUAUUUUACAUAAAAUAUUUCUGUUAUUGCCCUUCAAAAUCACAAACUCAAU
rnacentral:lncRNA from 12 species